ACUCAAAUGAAUAGACGGGGGCCCGCACAAGCGGAGGAACAUGUGGUUUAAUUCGAUGAUACGCGAGGAACCUUACCCGGGCUCGAACGGCAGACGACUUAUACAGAGACGUAUAUUCCCUUCGGGGCGUCUGUCGAGGUGCUGCAUGGUUGUCGUCAGCUCGUGUCGUGAGAUGUUGGCUUAAGUGCCAUAACGAGCGCAACCCUUGUCGUUAGUUGCCAUCAAGUGAUGUUGGGGACUCUAGCGAGACUGCCACCGCAAGGUGUGAGGAGGGAGGGGAUGACGUCAAAUCAGCACGGCCCUUACGUCCGGGGCGACACACGUGUUACAAUGGCGGUUACAAAGGGCAGCCACCCGGCGACGGGGCGCUAAUCUCUAAAAUCCGCCUCAGUUCGGACUGGAGUCUGCAACUCGACUCCACGAAGCUGGAUUCGCUAGUAAUCGCGCAUCAGCCACGGCGCGGUGAAUACGUUCCCGGGCCUUGCACACACCGCCCGU
rnacentral:rRNA from 1 species